rnacentral:tRNA from 1 species
GCCCGGUUAGCCAGUCGGUAGAGCAUCUGACUUUUAAUCAGAGGUUCGCGGGUUCAAGUCCCUCAUCGGGCG